AUGGACUGUUGCUGCCGCGCGCGUCGCCCGGACCUAGGGCUUGCCUUAUUCGGACGCUUCCUCAGGACAGGCCUGAAGACAAAUGAGAUCAUCGCCAACACCUUCCUCAAGUGCCUCUGCUAUGCCAAACGUACAAAUGAGGCUAUCAACUUGCUGCUUCAUAGGAUGCCCGAGCUUGGCUGCGUGCCUGAUGCCUUCUCAUACAACAUUGUUCUGAAGAGCUUAUGCGAGAAUAGCAUGAGUCAGCGGGCACUCGACCUGCUCCAGAUGGUGGCAGAAGGAGGAGGUGCCUGCUCCCUCAAUGUGGUGGCGUAUAGCACAGUCAUCCAUGGCUUCUUCAAGGAGGGCGAAACAGGCAAGGCAUGCAAUCUAUUCCAUGAAAUGAUCCAUCAAGGGGUUGUGCCCAAUGUGGUCACGUAUAGCUCUAUUAUUGAUGCGUUGUGCAAGGCCAGAGAAAUGGACAAGGCAGAGCUAGUCCUUCAACAGAUGGUUGAUAGUGGUGCUCAACCGAAUAAUGUGACAUAUAAUUGCAUGAUCCAUGGAUAUUCCACAUCAGGGCAGUUGAAAGAGGCUGCUAAAAUGUUUAGAAAAAUGACAAGCCAUGGUCUUGUACCAAAUGCAGUCACUUGCAGCUCGUUAAUGACUUCCCUUUGCAAGCAUGGAAGAAGCAAAGAAGCGGCAGAAAUAUUUUAUUCCAUGACUGCCAAGGGCCACAAACCGGAUGCCGUCUCGUACCGUAUUUUGCUUCAUGGGUAUGCCACUGAGGGAUGCUUUGCUGAUAUGAUUGAUCUCUUCAAUUCAAUGGAAAGCAAUGGUUUUGUAGCAGACUGCCAUGUUUUCACCAUAUUAAUUGAUGCAUAUGCUAAACGUGGAAUGAUGGAUGAAGCUAUGCUCAUAUUUACCGAAAUGCAGGAAAAAGGAGUGAGUCCCAAUGUAGUCACCUAUUCCACUGUAAUAGCCGCACUUUGCAGAUUGGGUAGGCUGGCCGAUGCUAUGGACAAGUUCAAUGAGAUGAUUGAUAUGGGUGUUCAGCCGGGCACAACUGUUUAUCACUCCCUAAUUCAGGGGUUUUGUAUGCAUGUAGAUUUGGUUAAAGCCAAGGAGUUAGUUUCUGACAUGAUAAGCAAAGGUAUUCCUCGUCCCAACAUUGUUUUUCUUCAAUUCAGUUAUAAACUAUUUGUGCAAAGAAGGACGGGUUAUGGAUGCACAAGAUAUCUUUGA
rnacentral:rRNA from 1 species